rnacentral:snRNA from 1 species
GUGCUGGCUUGGGCAGCACAUAUACUAAAAUUGGAAUGAUACAGAGGAGAUUAGCCUGGCCCCUGUGCAAGGAUGACACAUAAAUUCAUGAAGCAGAUUAUAUUAAA